rnacentral:rRNA from 1 species
UAAGCAUAUCAAUAAGCAGAGGAAAAGAAACUAACAAGGAUUCCCCUAGUAACUGCGAGUGAAGCGGGAAAAGCUCAAAUUUAAAAUCUGGUGGUCUUUAGCCAUCCGAGUUGUAAUUUAGAGAAGCAUCUUCCGCGCUGGACCGUGCACAAGUCUCCUGGAAUGGAGCGUCAUAGAGGGUGAGAAUCCYGUCUUUGGUACGGACAUGUCAGGGCUUUUGUGAUGUGCUCUCAAAGAGUCGAGUUGUUUGGGAAUGCAGCUCAAAAUGGGUGGUGAACUCCAUCUAAAGCUAAAUAUUGGCGAGAGACCGAUAGCGAACAAGUACCGUGAGGGAAAGAUGAAAAGCACUUUGGAAAGAGAGUGAAACAGUACGUGAAAUUGUUGAAAGGGAAACGCUUGAAGUCAGUCGUGUUGACCAAGACUCAGCCUUGCCUUGGCUUGGUGUAAUUCUUGGCUGACAGGCCAGCAUCAAUUUUGUCUCUUGGAUAAUGAUAAGGAAAAUGUGACACCUUUAUGGUGUGUUAUAGUUUCUUGUCGCAUGCAAGGGUUGAGAUUGAGGAACUCAGCAUGCACCUUUUUGGUGUCGGAGCCUUUGCUCACGAUACAUGCUUAGGAUGUUGGCAUAAUGGCUUUAAACGACCCGUCUUGAAACACGGACCAAGGAGUCUAACAUACCUGCGAGUGUUUGGGUGGAAAACCCGUGCGCGUAAUGAAAGUGAAAGUUGGGAUCUUUGUCGUGAAGAGCACCGACGCCCGGACCAGACCUUCUGUGACGGCUCUGCGGUAAAGCAUGUAUGUUAGGACCCGAAAGAUGGUGAACUAUGCCUGAAUAGGGUGAAGCCAGAGGAAACUCUGGUGGAGGCUCGUAGCGAUUCUGACGUGCAAAUCGAUCGUCAAAUUUGGGUAUAGGGGCGAAAGACUAAUCGAACCAUCUAGUAGCUGG